rnacentral:rRNA from 1 species
CCUACGGGUGGCAGCAGUGGGGAAUAUUGGGCAAUGGGCGCAAGCCUGACCCAGCAAUGCCGCGUGAAGGAAGAAGGCUUUCGGGUUGUAAACUUCUUUGACAGGGGAAGAGCAGAAGACGGUACCCUGAAAACAAGCCACGGCUAACUACGUGCCAGCAGCCGCGGUAAUACGUAGGUGGCAAGCGUGUUCCGGAUUGACUGGGUGUAAAGGGCGUGUAGCCGGGAAGGCAAGUCAGAUGUGAAAUCUGGAGGCUCAACCUCCAAAUUGCAUUUGAACCUGUGUUUCUUGAGUACUGGAGAGGCAGACGGAAUUCCUUGUGUAGCGGUGAAAUGCGUAGAUAUAAGGAGGAACACCAGUGGCGAAGGCGGUCUGCUGGACAGCAACUGACGGUGAGGCGCGAAAGCGUGGGGAACAAACAGGAUUAGAUACCCUUGUAGUC